rnacentral:rRNA from 1 species
UACGUAGGGGGCUAGCGUUGUCCGGAAUCAUUGGGCGUAAAGCGCUUGUAGGCGGUUCGGUAAGUCCGCUGUGAAAGUCGGGGGCUCAACCCUCGAAAGCCGGUGGAUACUGUCGGACUAGAGUACGGAAGAGGCGAGUGGAAUUCCCGGUGUAGCGGUGAAAUGCGCAGAUAUCGGGAGGAACACCAGUAGCGAAGGCGGCUCGCUGGGCCACUCCUGACGCUGAGACGCGAAAGCUAGGGGAGCGAACAGG